rnacentral:rRNA from 1 species
GAUGAACGCUGGCGGCGUGCCUAAUACAUGCAAGUCGAGCGAACAGGCGAGGAGCUUGCUUCUCUGACGUUAGCGGCGGACGGGUGAGUAACACGUGGAUAACCUACCUAUAAGACUGGGAUAACUUCGGGAAACCGGAGCUAAUACCGGAUAAUAUUUUGAACCGCAUGGUUCAAUAGUGAAAGACGGUUUUGCUGUCACUUAUAGAUGGAUCCGCGCUGCAUUAGCUAGUUGGUAAGGUAACGGCUUACCAAGGCAACGAUGCGUAGCCGACCUGAGAGGGUGAUCGGCCACACUGGAACUGAGACACGGUCCAGACUCCUACGGGAGGCAGCAGUAGGGAAUCUUCCGCAAUGGGCGAAAGCUUGACGGAGCAACGCCGCGUGAGUGAUGAAGGUCUUCGGAUCGUAAAACUCUGUUAUUAGGGAAGAACAAAUGUGUAAGUAACUAUGCACGUCUUGACGGUACCUAAUCAGAAAGCCACGGCUAACUACGUG